rnacentral:lncRNA from 1 species
AGACGAUUGAUCCUGGUUGUUGCAAGUCACUUUAAAAUCUGGGAGUAGACGAUUGAUCCUGGUUGUUGCAAGUCACUUUAAAAUCUGGGAGUAAGUGUAACUUCAAAAUUUGUCUUGUAAUUUUCUAUUGCAAGACAAGGAUUCAGUUUGAUUGAAACUAGUUAACAUUUUGAUGGUUGAAUGGCAGCAGGCUUGAUGGAACACAUGUUUUCUGCAAACCGCAGGUAAUAUUCUAUUUCCUAAUGUACCAAAUAAUCUUGGUAGUUAUUAGUUAAAACCAAUUUUCAGGUCGCUAUCUACACAUAUAAUGAAUGGCGAGUGAAUCCAAAAUACUUGAUAUCACAUGCUUAUGGAUUUCCCUAUAUAUCUAAGCACGAAAAAUUAUUAACUGUUUCUGGUUUCUCAUUAAUUUUGGGUUCUACUUUAAAACUGCUGCAAGUUCAUUCGUGGACUAUUGCAUUGUCUCUCCAAACAGCUGAACUUUGUUGAAAGCUUGAAAGUCACGUUUGAGUAGUGUCAGAUUUUUUGUUUUAGUUGAAUUACAUUUAUUUCGAACUUAAUAGAUGCAGCCAAUGAUAGAUAGCAUUAGAUCGGUGUCUUAUAUUACUAUAUCAUCUUUCAUUUAUGCGCAAUUCUUUUCUAUUUGUACUGGAUUGUUCUAAUUACUAGAAACAAGAUUUGUCCAAAUGAAAUUCGUAUUCCAUGUUGAAUAUUUGUAACUAAUACAUGCUAAUUUUUUAUACAGUUUUUUUUUUUUUUUUAAAUGAUUGUGGGUGUUCGGACAGUUUACGUGCACCCGACUAAUCCCACGUGGUCUUGAAGUUUAUAGUCGGGUACUCACCACAUUGGUCCUGAAGGGACUCUAACUGGUGAUUAUUGGGAGCAAACCCAAGGUCUUUUUACUCUUUGGGUACCUUGAUUAUACUCUCUGGAUGAGGUAAAAAUCAUGGGAUAUUGGUCGUUUUUACAAGAUUUGGAAGUGGUGGUUGGUUAAUGGUUUGGGAAGGGAUGCCUUUAAUUGCAAAUAGGAAAAUGCUGUGCGCACAGGUCUACAUGUCCCUCUCAUGGAGGGGGGCUCACGAAUAUUUUAUUACAUGCGAGCCUCCUCCAUGUGAGGUGGUGUAUGCUAUGUGUACACCAUUGUGUGCACAUAGCAUUUCCCUUGCAAAUAUUACAGAAGUGGAUUCAGAAAUUAGCCAGUUUGCUGUUGAAGGAUUGUUUGAAAUUAUUUUUUAUAGUUUCUAGAUUUUGAUUACUAUGUACUAUUACGUCUGAAUAUGCAUCGAUUAAUGUCUGUCAAAAUCAAUGUUUUGAAAAUCAGCGUAGGCAUCAAGGGGAAAAAGAUCAAGGGAUAAGGGUAAAAGGGUUGAAUUGAGGCCGAACUGAUUAUCAAAAAUAAAUAAAAGAAUAUAUUUAUGUCACAAAAUUGACUAGAUUGACAAAAG